AGACACCGGCCCCAGAACUUCCUACCGGAAGGGCCAGCAAGUGGGGGGAAUUUUUCCCCAAAUGGGCGCCAAGCCUUUACGGAAACAAAUACUGCGUGGCGGGGAGGAAGGGCCCUUUGGGUCGUAAAACUGUUUUUGGUAGGGGAAGGAAAAUUUGACCGGUACCUAAGGAAUAAAGCCUCGGUUUAAUUCCGUGCCCAGCAACCGCGGGUAAGACGGGAGGGAGGCCAAGCGUUAUCCGGAAAUUAUUGGGGGGUAAAGCGUCCGCAGGGUGGCAUUUUCAAGUCUGUUGUCAAAGCCCAGGGCUCAAACUUUGGAUCGGCAGUGGAAACUGAGACGCUAGAGUUCGGUAGGGGGCAGAAGGGAAUUUCCCAGUGUAGCGGUGAAAAUGCGUAGAUAUUGGAAGAACACCAGUAGCGAAAGCGCUCUGCUGCCCGUAACUGACACUCAUGGACGAAAGCUAGGGGAGCGAAAGGGAUUAGAUACCCCUGUAGUCCUAGCCGUAAACGAUGGACACUAGGUGUUGCGCGUAUCGACCCGUGCAGUGCCGUAGCCAACGCGUUAAGUGUCCCGCCUG
rnacentral:rRNA from 1 species